GACGAAGGGGGCUAGCGUUGUUCGGAAUUACUGGGCGUAAAGCGCACGUAGGCGGCUUUGUAAGUUAGAGGUGAAAGCCCGGGGCUCAACUCCGGAAUUGCCUUUAAGACUGCAUCGCUAGAAUUGUGGAGAGGAGAGUGGAAUUCCCAGUGUAGAGGUGAAAUUCGUAGAUAUUGGGAAGAACACCGGUGGCGAAGGCGGCUCUCUGGACCGAGACUGACGCUGAGGCGCGAAAGCGUGGGGAGCAAACAGG
rnacentral:rRNA from 1 species